rnacentral:rRNA from 1 species
AGUGAACGCUGGCGGUAGGCCUAACACAUGCAAGUCGAACGGCAGCACAGUAAGAGCUUGCUCUUACGGGUGGCGAGUGGCGGACGGGUGAGGAAUACAUCGGAAUCUACUUUUUCGUGGGGGAUAACGUAGGGAAACUUACGCUAAUACCGCAUACGACCUACGGGUGAAAGCAGGGGAUCUUCGGACCUUGCGCGAUUGAAUGAGCCGAUGUCGGAUUAGCUAGUUGGCGGGGUAAAGGCCCACCAAGGCGACGAUCCGUAGCUGGUCUGAGAGGAUGAUAAGCCACACUGGAACUGAGACACGGUCCAGACUCCUGCGGGAGGCAGCAGUGGGGAAUAUUGGACAAUGGGCGCAAGCCUGAUCCAGCCAUACCGCGUGGGUGAAGAAGGCCUUCGGGUUGUAAAGCCCUUUUGUUGGGAAAGAAAAGCAGCAGGUUAAUACCCCGCUGUUCUGACGGUACCCAAAGAAUAAGCACCGGCUAACUUCG